rnacentral:rRNA from 1 species
GCCCUACGGGGCGCAGCAGGCGCGAAAACUUUACAAUGCGGGAAACCGUGAUAAGGGAACUCCGAGUGCCCGUAAAAUCGGGCUGUCCAUCUGUUUAAAUAACAGGUGAAGAAAGGGCCGGGCAAGACCGGUGCCAGCCGCCGCGGUAAUACCGGCGGCUCGAGUGGUGGCCACUAUUACUGGGCUUAAAGCGUUCGUAGCUGGUUUGUUAAGUCUCUGGGGAAAUCUGCCGGCUCAACCGGCAGGCGUUCCAGGGAUACUGGCAGACUAGGGACCGGGAGAGGUGAGGGGUACUCCAGGGGUAGGAGUGAAAUCCUGUAAUCCUUGGGGGACCACCUGUGGCGAAGGCGCCUCACCAGAACGGCUCCGACAGUGAGGGACGAAAGCUGGGGGAGCAAACCGGAUUAGAUACCCGGGUAGUCCCAGCCGUAAACGAUGCGCGUUAGGUGUAUCGGUGACCACGAGUCACCGAGGUGCCGAAGAGAAAUCGUGAAACGUGCCGCCUGGGAAGUACGGUCGCAAGGCUGAAACUUAAAGGAAUUGGCGGGGGAGCACCACAACAGGUGGAGCCUGCGGUUUAAUCGGACUCAACGCCGGAAAUCUCACCGGAUAAGACAGCUGGAUGAUAGUCGGGCUGAAGACUCUACUUGACUAGCUGAGAGGAGGUGCAUGGCCG